rnacentral:rRNA from 1 species
UACGGAGGGAGCAAGCGUUAUCCGGAAUCACUGGGUUUAAAGGGAGCGUAGGCGGUUUUAUCAGUCAGAAGUGAAAGGCUGUCGCUUAACGAUGGAAUUGCUUUUGAUACUGUAGAACUAGAAUAUGGUCGAGGUUGGCGGAAUGUGGCAUGUAGCGGUGAAAUGCAUAGAUAUGCCAUAGAACACCAAUUGCGAAGGCAGCUGACUAGUCUAUAUUGACGCUGAGGCACGAAAGCGUGGGGAGCGAACAGG